GAUGAACGCUGGCGGCAUGCCUAACACAUGCAAGUCGGACGGGAAGUGGUGUUUCGAGUGGCGGACGGGGGAGCAACUCGCAAGAACCUGCCCUAGGGAGGGGAACAACAGCUGGAAAGGGGGGCUAAUACGCCGUAGGCUGGGGAGUAAAAGGUGGGACCCGCCCGUGGAGGGGCGGGCGCAUGAUAAAUUAGGUGGUGGGGUAAUAGCUUGCCAAAGCGGUGAUCUGGAGCGGUUCCGAGAGGACCAUCAGCCACACUGGGACUGGGACACGGCCCAGAGUCCUCCGGGAGGCAGCCGCAGGGAAUUUUCAGCAAUGGGGGAAGGCCUAACGGAGCCAUGCCGCGUGGAGGUAGAAGGCCCACGGGUCAUGAACUUCUUUUCCAGGAGCAGAAGCAAUGACGGUAUCUGGGGAAUAAGCAUCGGCUAACUCUGUG
rnacentral:rRNA from 1 species